UCCCUGGUAGCUCAGCUGUUAAAGAAUCUGCCUGCAAUGCAGGAGACCUGGGUUCGAUCCCUAGGUUGGGAA
rnacentral:tRNA from 1 species